rnacentral:rRNA from 1 species
AUUGAACGCUGGCGGCAGGCCUAACACAUGCAAGUCGAGCGGAUGAAGGGAGCUUACUCCUGGAUUCAGCGGCGGACGGGUGAGUAAUGCCUAGGAAUCUGCCUGGUAGUGGGGGAUAACGUCCGGAAACGGGCGCUAAUACCGCAUACGUCCUGAGGGAGAAAGUGGGGGAUCUUCGGACCUCACGCUAUCAGAUGAGCCUAGGUCGGAUUAGCUAGUUGGUGGGGUAAAGGCCUACCAAGGCGACGAUCCGUAACUGGUCUGAGAGGAUGAUCAGUCACACUGGAACUGAGACACGGUCCAGACCCCUACGGGAGGCAGCAGUGGGGAAUAUUGGACAAUGGGCGAAAGCCUGAACCAGCCAUGCCGCGUGUGUGAAGAAGGUCUUCGGAUUGUAAAGCACUUUAAGUUGGGGGGAAGGGCAGUAAGUUAAUACCUUGCUGUUUUGACGUUACCAACAGAAUAAGCCCCGGCUAACUUCGU